rnacentral:siRNA from 1 species
ACCAAAUGGAUCGUUUGUAGCCUA